AUGAGAUCGACACAAGGCUUUCGCCUUAAGCAAACCAUCCCAAUCAACUCCGCCGAAGUUGUCACUGAGUCCAGCAGCUCGAGACCUCCCCACCCUCCUACCAGUCCACGGCGAGCGUCCUCGCUAGGACUAGCACGAGGCUUCGGUGACGCAGACACUCAUCUCGAGCACCCGCAUAGCCGAAGUCAGCUCGGUGUCAGCUGCAGCCCGCAUCCAAGCCCUCGCCGCCGGCCACACCCCACCACCAGCACAUACAGCCACCAGGACCCUCCCCAUCCACAACCAAAGCAGAGCAGCCCCUGUAACCAAGCCAAAUCUGAGCUCCACAAGAACCAACACCGCCGACUACCAGCCAAACCUCCUCCACGAGCCACACAACCACCACCUCCAACACGCCCCCAUCCACCCAGCCGUGGCUACUGGCCGGAGCCGGCCGAGUCGAGCUGCUGCCUUUGA
rnacentral:rRNA from 1 species